AUGCUGGAGGUAUCAGAAGUGCGAAUGCUGACAUAAGUAACGAUAAAGCGGGUGAAAAGCCCGCUCGCCGGAAGACCAAGGGUUCCUGUCCAACGUUAAUCGGGGCAGGGUGAGUCGACCCCUAAGGCGAGGCCGAAAGGCGUAGUCGAUGGGAAACAGGUUAAUAUUCCUGUACUUGGUGUUACUGCGAAGGGGGGACGGAGAAGGCUAUGUUGGCCGGGCGACGGUUGUCCCGGUUUAAGCGUGUAGGCUGGUUUUCCAGGCAAAUCCGGAAAAUCAAGGCUGAGGCGUGAUGACGAGGCACUACGGUGCUGAAGCAACAAAUGCCCUGCUUCCAGGAAAAGCCUCUAAGCAUCAGGUAACAUCAAAUCGUACCCCAAACCGACACAGGUGGUCAGGUAGAGAAUACCAAGGCGCUUGAGAGAACUCGGGUGAAGGAACUAGGCAAAAUGGUGCCGUAACUUCGGGAGAAGGCACGCUGAUAUGUAGGUGAAGUCCCUCGCGGAUGGAGCUGAAAUCAGUCGAAGAUACCAGCUGGCUGCAACUGUUUAUUAAAAACACAGCACUGUGCAAACACGAAAGUGGACGUAUACGGUGUGACGCCUGCCCGGUGCCGGAAGGUUAAUUGAUGGGGUUAGCGCAAGCGAAGCUCUUGAUCGAAGCCCCGGUAAACGGCGGCCGUAACUAUAACGGUCCUAAGGUAGCGAAAUUCCUUGUCGGGUAAGUUCCGACCUGCACGAAUGGCGUAAUGAUGGCCAGGCUGUCUCCACCCGAGACUCAGUGAAAUUGAACUCGCUGUGAAGAUGCAGUGUACCCGCGGCAAGACGGAAAGACCCCGUGAACCUUUACUAUAGCUUGACACUGAACAUUGAGCCUUGAUGUGUAGGAUAGGUGGGAGGCUUUGAAGUGUGGACGCCAGUCUGCAUGGAGCCGACCUUGAAAUACCACCCUUUAAUGUUUGAUGUUCUAACGUGGACCCGUAAUCCGGGUUGCGGACAGUGUCUGGUGGGUAGUUUGACUGGGGCGGUCUCCUCCUAAAGAGUAACGGAGGAGCACGAAGGUUGGCUAAUCCUGGUCGGACAUCAGGAGGUUAGUGCAAUGGCAUAAGCCAGCUUGACUGCGAGCGUGACGGCGCGAGCAGGUGCGAAAGCAGGUCAUAGUGAUCCGGUGGUUCUGAAUGGAAGGGCCAUCGCUCAACGGAUAAAAGGUACUCCGGGGAUAACAGGCUGAUACCGCCCAAGAGUUCAUAUCGACGGCGGUGUUUGGCACCUCGAUGUCGGCUCAUCACAUCCUGGGGCUGAAGUAGGUCCCAAGGGUAUGGCUGUUCGCCAUUUAAAGUGGUACGCGAGCUGGGUUUAGAACGUCGUGAGACAGUUCGGUCCCUAUCUGCCGUGGGCGCUGGAGAAUUGAGGGGGGCUGCUCCUAGUACGAGAGGACCGGAGUGGACGCAUCACUGGUGUUCGGGUUGUCAUGCCAAUGGCACUGCCCGGUAGCUAAAUGCGGAAGAGAUAAGUGCUGAAAGCAUCUAAGCACGAAACUUGCCCCGAGAUGAGUUCUCCCUGACUCCUUGAGAGUCCUGAAGGAACGUUGAAGACGACGACGUUGAUAGGCCGGGUGUGUAAGCGCAGCGAUGCGUUGAGCUAACCGGUACUAAUGAACCGUGAGGCUUAACCUUACAACGCCGAAGGUGUUU
rnacentral:rRNA from 1 species